GCUUGAGAAACAUACUACUUUAUAUGCCCAUAUGAACGUGCUAAGCUAUGGAAUGUAAAGAAGUAUGUAUUUCCGGU
rnacentral:pre_miRNA from 15 species